rnacentral:rRNA from 1 species
UAGAGUUUGAUCAUGGCUCAGAGUGAACGCUGGCGGUAGGCCUAACACAUGCAAGUCGAACGGCAGCACAGAGGAGCUUGCUCCUUGGGUGGCGAGUGGCGGACGGGUGAGGAAUACAUCGGAAUCUACUUUUUCGUGGGGGAUAACGUAGGGAAACUUACGCUAAUACCGCAUACGACCUACGGGUGAAAGCAGGGGACCUUCGGGCCUUGCGCGAUUGAAUGAGCCGAUGUCGGAUUAGCUAGUUGGCGGGGUAAAGGCCCACCAAGGCGACGAUCCGUAGCUGGUCUGAGAGGAUGAUCAGCCACACUGGAACUGAGACACGGUCCAGACUCCUACGGGAGGCAGCAGUGGGGAAUAUUGGACAAUGGGCGCAAGCCUGAUCCAGCCAUACCGCGUGGGUGAAGAAGGCCUUCGGGUUGUAAAGCCCUUUUGUUGGGAAAGAAAUCCAGCCGGCUAAUACCUGGUUGGGAUGACGGUACCCAAAGAAUAAGCACCGGCUAACUUCGUGCCAGCCGCCGCGGUAAUUCA